UGUGUCUCUUUCUUCUUGCUACAGCAGGAUGUACCAAGAGAAGCCAUGUUUAGGGUUUGGCCAAGCUUCAAAGCUUAAUAUGUUUUCAGGUUAGCUCAGGGUUGGAGAUCGUCGGAGGUAGUAUCACACUAUCAAGCUAAUACCUUGAGAGUAUAAACACAUAUGCUAGAAUUAUCAAGUGAGUGGCAUGUAUAGGGACCUAGUUUUAUAACAUGUGUGUUAUAGGCUUUAAAGGCCUAUAUAAGGGACGAUAUGCAUGUGUUUAAGAUGUUUUAACUUUGGAAAAAAAUUUUAUGGCCCGAUUUUGCAUGUUGUAAAUGUUUAAGUCUGGUAACGCCUCAAACCCUGUCCCUGCGUUGGAUAAGAGUGAGGAGUGUUACAUUAUAUAUAAUGGUACUUUGGUAAUUAUACUAGGUUGAGGCGGGAUGGAUUUUUCUUAAGGGAUAAUAUAAUUUUUGGCCUCUAAACUUGAUAACGAGGUUCACUUUGAUA